rnacentral:rRNA from 1 species
AGAGUUUGAUCCUGGCUCAGGACGAACGCUGGCGGCGUGCUUAACACAUGCAAGUCGAACGGAGUAUAGUGAGUAGCUUGCUACUUGCUAUACUUAGUGGCGGACGGGUGAGUAACGCGUGGGCAAUCUGCCCGUAAGUGGGGGAUAACACCGUGAAAACGGUGCUAAUACCGCAUAACAUUAUUAGUAUGCAUGUACUGAUAAUCAAAGGAGAAAUCCGCUUACGGAUGAGCCCGCGUCUGAUUAGCUAGUUGGUAGGGUAACGGCCUACCAAGGCGACGAUCAGUAGCCGGCCUGAGAGGGUGACCGGCCACACUGGAACUGAGACACGGUCCAGACUCCUACGGGAGGCAGCAGUGGGGAAUCUUCCGCAAUGGGCGAAAGCCUGACGGAGCAACGCCGCGUGAGUGAUGAAGGCCUUCGGGUUGUAAAACUCUGUCUUCAGGGAAGAAAAAAAUGACGGUACCUGAGGAGGAAGCCACGGCUAACUACGUGCCAGCAGCCGCGGUAAUACGUAGGUGGCGAGCGUUGUCCGGAAUUACUGGGCGUAAAGAGCGCGUAGGCGGGGAUUUAAGUCAGGAGUGAAAACUACCGGCUCAACCGGUAGCCUGCUCUUGAAACUGAAUUUCUUGAGGGUAUGAGAGGAAAGCGGAAUUCCCAGUGUAGCGGUGAAAUGCGUAGAUAUUGGGAGGAACACCAGUGGCGAAGGCGGCUUUCUGGCAUACAACUGACGCUGAGGCGCGAAAGCGUGGGGAGCAAACGGGAUUAGAUACCCCGGUAGUCCACGCCGUAAACGAUGGGCACUAGGUGUAGGAGGUAUCGACCCCUUCUGUGCCGUAGUUAACACAAUAAGUGCCCCGCCUGGGAG